rnacentral:lncRNA from 1 species
CCCCUUCUCUUCUCCUCUCUCUCCCAACACCUCAUAUCCUGGUUGACGAGAGUGGUAGCCAGCAGCCUCCUCUCCACUGGCCUGAUGCACUAGGGAAGAGGAGCGCUAGUGGGGUGUCCGGCCGCCCCAGCAGAGGUCUAGGCUCGAACACCUAUGGUGAAGGAAAGGGACAUGAAAGUACUUCUAGGCUCCGAUAAGCAAAUGGAAGAAACGUGCAUCUUCUUCGCCAACCUGUAGAUCACCAUCGCGAAUCGCCCUCAUAUCCUCUUCUGGCCGACACUAUAG